AUUGAACGCUGGCGGCAGGCCUAACACAUGCAAGUCGAACGAGUGGCGGACGGGUGAGUAAUGUCUGGGAAACUGCCCGAUGGAGGGGGAUAACUACUGGAAACGGUGGCUAAUACCGCAUACCAUCGGAUGUGCCCAUAUGGGAUUAGCUAGUAGGUGGGGUAACGGCUCACCUCGGCGACGAUCUCUAGCUGGUCUGAGAGGAUGACCAGCCACACGGGAACUGAGACACGGUCCAGACGCCUACGGGAGGCAGCAGUGGGGAAUAUUGCACAAUGGGCGCAAGCCUGAUGCAGCCAUGCCGCGUGUAUGAAGAAGGCCUUCGGGUUGUAAAGUACUUUCAGCGGGGAGGCGUUACCCGCAGAAGAAGCACCGGCUAACUCCGUGCCAGCAGCCGCGGUAAUUC
rnacentral:rRNA from 1 species